CCUACGGGAGGCAGCAGUGAGGAAUAUUGCGCAAUGGGCGAAAGCCUGACGCAGCGAAGCCGCGUGAGGGAUGAAGGUCCUCGGAUCGUAAACCUCUGUCAGCAGGGAAGAACGGUCACUGUGCUAAUCAGCAGUGAAUUGACGGUACCUGCAAAGGAAGCACCGGCGAACUCCGUGCCAGCAGCCGCGGUAAUACGGAGGGUGCGAGCGUGAAUCGGAAUUACUGGGCGUAAAGCGCUCGUAGGCGGUAUGUCAAGUCAAGGGUGAAAUGCCCGGGCUCAACGUGGGAACUGCCUUUGAAACUGGCAGACUGGAGUGUGUGAGAGGAUAGUGGAAUUCGAGGUGUAGGAGUGAAAUGCGUAGAUAUCUGGAGGAACAUCAGUGGCGAAGGCGACUAUCUGGCACAUAACUGACGCUGAGGAGCGAAAGCGUGGGUAGCAAACAGGAUUAGAUACCCUUGUAGUC
rnacentral:rRNA from 1 species